GAUGAAGAACGUAGCGAAAUGCGAUAAGUAAUGUGAAUUGCAGAAUUCAGUGAAUCAUCGAAUCUUUGAACGCACAUUGCGCCCGCUAGUAUUCUGGCGGGCAUGCCUGUCCGAGCGUCAUUUCAACCCUCAAGCCCCCGGGCUUGGUGUUGGGGAUCGGCGAGCCUCCGCGCCUGCCGUCCCCUAAAUCUAGUGGCGGUCUCGCUGUAGCUUCCUCUGCGUAGUAGCACACCUCGCACUGGGAAACAGCGCGGCCACGCCGUUAAACCCCCAACUUCUGAACGUUUGACCUCGGAUCAGGUAGGAAUACCCGCUGAACUUAAGCAUAUCAAUAAGCGGAGGA
rnacentral:misc_RNA from 1 species